GUUGAUGGCGACCGGCGCACGGGUGCGUAACACGUAUCCAAUCUGCCCGCGGCUCGGGGGAUAGCCCAUCGAAAGAUGGAUUAAUACCCGAUGGCGUGGUCACUCCGCGUGGGGUUUCCACUAAAAGGGUUUUUCCGGGCCCGCGGGAUAAAGGAUAGGCUCGCGUGACAUUAGCUAGACGGCGGGGUAACGGCCCACCGUGGCUACGAUGUCUAGGGGUUCUGAGAGGAAGGUCCCCCACACUGGAACUGAGACACGGUCCAGACUCCUACGGGAGGCAGCAGUGAGGAAUAUUGGUCAAUGGUCGGAAGACUGAACCAGCCAAGUAGCGUGAAGGAUGAAGGUUCUAUGGAUUGUAAACUUCUUUUAUACGGGAAUAAAGCCCACUACGUGUAGUGGUUUGUAUGUACCGUAUGAAUAAGCAUCGGCUAACUCCGUG
rnacentral:rRNA from 1 species